CCGAGGAGGCCGGGUGGGCGGGAGGGGGACCGGAGGAAAGGAGACUGGGCGCUGAGCUUAGUUAUCAAGACUGCGAUCAAAGUCGGAACAAGGCUGCGAGCCGCCGACGAGUUUUCAGAAGUGCCCUAGCAGGACCGACUAGCCGCCUGGAGGCGCGGGAAGCGGCAAAGAGCGUGCAGAGAGCUUCGCCCCCGGCGAGGAGGACGCCCCGGGCGGAGGGAGCCAGACCCAGGGUCUGGCUGCACAGCUCGUAACCGCUGCCCUAUGGCGGCAAACAAGCCGCACCUAAGGACCAGCCAGCCUUCCUCUUCCGCCUCUGGCCCUCGGACCUGUUUUCCCCUUUUUGUCACUUUCCUCUUUUUUUUUUUUUUUUUUGUCUUCCUAAUCCAUGCGGUAAACUGGUGGUGCCCACGGCCCUCCAUCGGGUCCCUGGGAGUCUCCCAACUGCUGGUCCUUAGUGCCAGCCUGCAAGCCCAGGCCCGCCUCGCCCGGCUGCCUGGGAGGAUAUGUUUCACGAAGCUCUUGCCAAAAGCCCUGAUGUGGUUUGAAGGCUUUUACUUUGUGCCUCUCGUACCUUAACCAACCCUCAUAACUUCCUCUCCGAGUAACCCAUGGGGCCUCUAAAAGAGAAGUCCAUCUUCUCAAGGACACUGUUUUCUCUCUUAAAACCCCUCAUUGCCAUAGCUACUCGCCCUCCACCCUCCCAUGCUGUCCUAACUUCAAAGUCAGUUGAGCUCCAGAAGUCAACGAAAGCCUAUAAAUUAAAUUUGGUUAAGAGAGAUUGGACCUGCUUACUUUGUGAAGCAAAUAAAAGCACAGUCAGGGAGAAAUGAGAUAACAGGCCGAAGGGGACAUGAAAAUCAUUCUAAAAGUUGGAAUUGAUCUAACGGCUAAGUCCAAUCCCCUAUUUUAGUGGGAAUCCUCUCUCCAAUAUUUCCACCGGACCGCUAUCCACUUGAACAUUUCCAGUGGUGAUGGGCUUUUGGAACUAUAAAAUAUUGUAGAAUGCUCAGCAGUAACCUGGACAACCUAAGUACUUCUCUAUAUAAUUGAGCCACAUUUUCAAAUAUUAACAGCCCUGAUGAUUCCAAACCAACGUAAUUAGCUUAAUUAAGUAUGCU